AUUUGAUGUUGUGGGCAUCUAGCGUGGAACUUAUUGAACCUCUCCCAAUAGUCAUAUAGGGAUUUUUUAGGAUACUGUUUAAUGAUACAUAUCUCUUUUCUCAGACU